GAUCAUGGCUCAGGAUGAACGCUAGCGACAGGCUUAACACAUGCAAGUCGAGGGGCAGCACAGGUAGCAAUACCGGGUGGCGACCGGCGCACGGGUGAGUAACGCGUACGCAACUUGCCUAUCAGAGGGGGAUAACCCGGCGAAAGUCGGACUAAUACCGCAUGAAGCAGGGGCCCCGCAUGGGGAUAUUUGCUAAAGAUUUAUCGCUGAUAGAUAGGCAUGCGUUCCAUUAGG
rnacentral:rRNA from 1 species